rnacentral:rRNA from 1 species
GACAGAGGCCUCAAGCGUUAGGCGGAAUCACUGGGCUUAAAGCGUGUGUAGGCGGAUCGUUAAGUACCUUGUGAAAUCCCACGGCUUCACCCGUGGAACUGCUGGGUAUACUGGCGGUCAUUGGGCCAACUAGGGGCAGCUGGAACAAGCGGUGGAGCGGUGAAAUGCGUAGAUAUCGCUUGGGAACGCCGAAGGUGAAAACAGGCUGCGUGGGGUGUGCCGGACGCUGAGACACGAAAGCCAGGGGAGCAAACGGG